GGCCCAGGAGUGAUAAGCGUGAACUAGAGAGUGCUGUGCAGGAGGAAGCUGGGGCCGCCGUCGGGCCUUCUCCCUCCAGGGGCCCAAGAGCCACUGGUACUCAGUGUCUGGGUGGGGGCAGGGGGGAUUUUUGUUCUCCCAGCACCUGCGGCUGUUGAGACCAGAGAAGCUGGUGGUCGACCACAGCCUGGGGUAUUAGUUCACCCCUAGCUUCUCCCCAGCGAGACCCCAGGGCCCUUGGGCACAGGGGAUUAAGCCUCUAUCUGCUUACGUGCAAGCGGAAGAAAUAGGCCCAGAGAGCAACAGUGGCGGGUCUGCAGUCACACAGCCAACUUGCGCUUGUGGCAGUGGCAAGGUUGGUGAGUAUCUGAGUCUUCAGGCCACGGCAUUUUCCGCUCGAGUGGAGCCUGAAGUUCUGAGGGUACCCCUCACUCAAGCUCCAGGCGUCAGGAAAAGAACAUUCCACGAAGUCCAUCUGGAAGACGGUCCUUUCCCUGCUGCCCCCAGGAAAAGGAAAAGAAAGAUCCCUCUACCCUUUGAGGUCACUUCCUGACCCAUUUGUGCAUCUAUGUAGAGUGGUUACAAACUCACAUCUCCCUGCCUGAAUGCCUCUUAUUAAUCUGGGGAUGGGUGGCAGGUCAGCAUGCCCAUGGGCUCUGACACCAGACAGGCUGAGGUUCAAAUCCAGCCCCCACCACCCACUGACUUAACCCACUCUAGCCCUCUGACAGCUAACCUGUGACAGGGCCUUUCUACCUCAUAUGUCUGAACCCACAGAGUGGU
rnacentral:lncRNA from 1 species